AAUGACUUUUAUUUUUAUUUUGUUUUGUCAAAAAAUAGGGUCGGCGCUCCCGUAAACCAGAAAAUUAAAAAAUGUUGGCCUUACUUCAUAAUAGAACGGACGGGCAUAGCAUUUUAUUGUAUUUUAAAAAUAAAAUGUAUUUACUAGAGUUACAAAAUCAUGAAAAUGGACUAAAACGAGUAAAUGAUUUUUUGCACUUUUGAAAAUAUUCCUUAUUGUUAUUAAAAUUGGACUAAUUAUUUUUAACAAUAACACUCAUUCAUUUAAAAAUAUUUAGGAAAGAGAUACUGGAAUUCAUUGGGAACAUUUAUAAUACAUGUUUGUAACCAUGGUAACUAAGGGCCGGUCUCUCUGUACACAUGUUAUCUAUUAGUUACGCCAAUGGUUUACACACUAUUCAGUUCAUUUGAUAGAGGUUAAAGCUGCAAUACAGAACAAGUUUAUUCAUUAGGAACAGAAGGAUGAUGCAGAAAAAGUGAUGCUCGGUCCAGUGGUUUUGCCGUGAUGAAGAUUUUGAGAAAUAAGCUAUUUAAGAGUGCUUAUACAAAGAAUCUGCGAUGAAGUGAUUUGGAAAUGCAAUAGGUCAAGAGAAGAAAAACAAAACAGUCCAUAGUGAUCCGGAAACAAAUACAGCUACAAUGAUUCGGACAGUUGACAGUAUCAAUAAAACAAUAAGACCCAUACAAUUCCAGAACGCCUCUAAACGCCCAUAUUAUAUAAUAUACGACAUGGGACCCAGAAAGGUCCCACAUGGGUUAUAAGAUCUGGGACCCAUAAGGGACCCACAUUGGUCCCAUAUAGUAUAUCCCAUAUGGGACCCAUGCCAAAAUGGUUUGCAAAACCCAUCUGGGUCCCAUGUGGGUAGCCCAUAUAGGUCCCACAUGGGAAACCAUAUGGGUCCCACAUGGGUCCCAUGUAUGUUUGAGUGCUGGGCACUGACAUUCUCCUUACUGUAAAAGUUUACUUCUGUCGUUUCUAACAUUCUUCUCCUGCUUACUGUUACCUACCGUCGUCACUGACGUUCUCCUGACUGCUUAACAUUACUUACAGUCGAUACUGACGUUCUCCUGACUGCUAAAUGUUACCUACCGUCGUUACUGACAUUCUCCUUACUGUCAAUGUUUCCUACUGUCGUUUCUGACGUUCUUCUCCUGCUUACUGUUACCUACCGUCGUCACGGACGUUCUCCUGACUGCUUAACGUUACUUACCGUCGUCACUGACGUUCUCCUGACUGCUAAAUGUUACCUACCGUCGUCACUGACAUUCUCCUUACUGUAAAAGUUACCUACUGUCGUUCGUUUCUGACUUUCUUCUCCUGCUUACUGUUACCUACCGUCGUCACUGACGUUCUCCUGACUGCUUAACGUUACCUUCCGUCGUCACUGACGUUCUGUUUACUGUAAAAUGUUACUUACCGUCGUCACUGACGUUCUUCUCACUGUAAAAAGUGACCUACCCUCGUGUCUAACUUUCUGCUCACAGCUAAAUGUAAACUAAAGUCGUCACAGUUAUCUUCUGUCUUUAGUUACGUCCUCUUCCUACUAACUUUUACUUACCGUCGAUACUGACGUUCACCAAACUGCUAAAUGUUACCUACCGUCGUCACUGACGUUCUCCUCACUGUAAAAUGUACCUACCCUAUAAACAUGAAGUCAUUGGGCCAACGACGGAAAACCGUCAAAGGAUAAUCGUUGUUGGGCCAAUGUUGGCCCAACAAUGAUUAAUAAGUAUUGUAAAUACAGCCGUUGGGCCAACAUUGAACCAACUUUGAAUUUCAGUCACAGAUAUCUCUGCAUUGGCCCAAUAUUGAUUUUCAGACAAAGACUUAUACAGAGAAAACAUCGUUGGCCCAACGUUGACCUAUUAGAAGUCCAUGUUAUGAUAUAAUAAUUAUAUAUUUUACAGGUGACUGUUUUAUCAUAAGCCCCUACAGGUAUACACGCUGUGUAUGUGUAACAUGCAAUAUUUGAUAAAUAAUUAAAUACUUUUCUGCACCAAUUCAUAAUCAGUUAAA
rnacentral:lncRNA from 1 species